CGCCGUCAGGGGUAACCCUGUUCGGUGAUUAAGCAGAAGUCAGCAGACGGCAUAGUAGCCAAAUGCCCAGCGUAAUGGCUGGGACAUGGUGAAGGCC
rfam:Thalassomonas actiniarum strain A5K-106 contig_102, whole genome shotgun sequence.